AACGAACGCUGGCGGCAUGCCUAACACAUGCAAGUCGAACGAGACCUUCGGGUCUAGUGGCGCACGGGUGCGUAACGCGUGGGAACCUGCCCUUAGGUUCGGAAUAACUCCCCGAAAGGGGUGCUAAUACCGGAUAAUGUCUUCGGACCAAAGAUUUAUCGCCUUUGGAUGGGCCCGCGUUGGAUUAGCUAGUUGGUGGGGUAAAGGCCUACCAAGGCGACGAUCCAUAGCUGGUCUUAGAGGAUGAUCAGCCACACUGGGACUGAGACACGGCCCAGACUCCUACGCGAGGCAGCAGUGGGGAAUAUUGGACAAUGGGCGAAAGCCUGAUCCAGCAAUGCCGCGUGAGUGAUGAAGGCCCUAGGGUUGUAAAGCUCUUUUACCCGGGAUGGUAAUGACAGUACCGGGAGAAUAAGCCCCGGCUAACUCCGUGCCAGCAGCCGCCGUAAAAC
rnacentral:rRNA from 1 species